UUAUGUAUGUAUAUAUAUACAUAUAUAUGUAUAUGUAUACAUAUAAAUUUAUAUAUGUAUAUGUAUAUAUAUGUAUAUAUAUAUAUGUAUGUAUAUAUAUGUGUAUACAUAUAUACAUAUAUGUGUGUAUAUAUACAUAUAUAUAUAGCUUGAUAAUAUUGAUAAUAAUGUAACCAUUGAGAAUAAUUUGUUUUGUUUUCUGUUAUAUAAUCACGAGUAAACAGCUGUUAGCAAAAAUAAAGAGAAAACACGAUGAAUUUAUUUAAAUUCAAAUUUAAUUAUGUAAUCACACCAGAGGUGAUCAUCACGUGAACACUACAAUCCCAGUGGGCAAACCAGAGCCAUGUCCUGAUCUCUCUCUCUCUUUCACACACACACACACACACACACACACACACACACACACACACACACACACACACACACACACACACACACACACACACACACACACACACAGCAGGAGAAAAGCAAACAGUAAUCAGGUACGAAUAAAUGCUCAAACCAGAACCUGAUCUGGGUCAGCAGGUUUGAUCAUCUGAGUUAACUAAAGCCUGAUCUAAACCAGCAGCCUGUCUUAUCCCUCACACUCCCACCCCACCAGACUGGUUUCCCAUUAAUUAACACCUCUUGUAAUUAAUGGAUCUGCAGCUCAAGCUCACUGGAAUCCUGGAGCUCCGUCAGUAGACCUAUUUCUAUUACUGGUCCAGAUGGUCUCCACGUGCAUUUCGUUUUUUUUCUUCACAUAUGGUGAUCAGACUCCAUUUGGCAGGUUUAAAUCUAAGACAUUUGUCCUCUGUAUUUUUCCAGAGUGUCUGGAUCUGGUAAAGAUGGAGAAAAAUGAUUUUCCUGCUACUAUAACAACUUCCUUGCAACAUCCUAUUAUCUUUCAUUUAGAGCAAAUCCAAAAUAACAAGUUACUAAACUAAGCAGGGUAGAGAACUAUUUACCCCUUCUUAUCAGCAACACUGGAACAGCAUUACACUUGACCCUUAACGACCUCCUAGAGCCGAUAAGGGUGGUAAAAUAGAAACAAUUGCUUUUUAAUUCCAAAAAGCCGUAAUAUGUCAAGACAUGUCAACUAACUUUAUUGUUUUCAGCUGAGCAUGCAUCACCUUUUCUGCAUGUCCAACAUCGGCAUCAGCAUUAAAGUUAGGGCUGCAUGGUGGCGCAGUGGUUAGCACUGUUGCCUCGCAGCACGAAGGUCGCUGGUUCGAAACUCGGCUGCGGCCUUUCUGCGUGGAGUUGCGUGUUCUCCCCAUGCAUGCGUGGGUUUCCCCCACAGAUCACAACAUGCCCUAUAGGUUAUAAAUUGUUAGUCGCUUUGGAUAAAAGCGUCUGCCAAAUAAAUAAACAUGAACAUAAAGUUGGUGUACUCCUUAUGAAAACUUCUAACUUUGGGCAGCACUAGCCUCAUGCUGCUGCAAUCCUCGUUCGUAGUCUCAUCACCUCUCGCACCAACUACUGUAACUCCCUUCUAUUUGGUCUCCCAACUAAAUCCCAUCGUGAACUCCAACUUCUCCAGAACUCUGCAGCGCGCAUCAUUACUGGGACCCCCUCAAGAAAUCCCAUCACUCCUGUUCUUACAAACCUACACUGGUUGCCAAUAGAAACCAGGUUCAUGUACAAGAUCCUACUACUCACAUUUAAAUCUAUCCAUAGCAUGGCCCCACUUUAUCUGUGUAACUUACUAACUAUUGCAACCACUUCCCAGUCUCUCAGAUCCUCAUCUGCACUUCAUCUGGUUCAACCUCGAGCUCUUCUUACCACCAUGGGGAGCAGAGCUUUCAGUUGCUCUGCUCUGCUAGCCUGGCUAGCCAUCCUAAACUUAGCAAGGCAUAAAUUUGGCCUAGUUCACUAGGCUACUGCUCCGCGGCUCUGCCAGUAGAAAUACGGACUCUUUUCCAUUAUUCAAGGCACUCCUCAAAACCCACUUAUUCCAACAAUUUUAUUCCCUUUAGACCUAGACUUUAGAGUGUUUUGAAUUUUAAUGCAUCUUAUUUUUUCUUAUUGCUCUAUCAACCUCUGUUGUUUUUAUCUUUGUUUAAUUGUAAGGUGACCUCUGUCAUGCUGUGGGUAAGAGCUUGCACCCAGGACAUGAAGAAUCACAUGAGAGGGACGGAUCAGACCGGAAUCUACGGAGAUAUAAGCAGAAGGAAUCGGAACCAGAGCGGAGGCGAACUGAGGAAGGUCGGACCAGAUGAGGAGUUCAGAGCGUGAGGCAGGCGGGCAGACGUGGAGAGAGGAGUCCGGAGGAUCUUUAAGCGACGAGACGUGGGAACAACUCCAGGCAAGGUAGGUGAAGCAGGUACAGGAUACUGGAACGGAGUUCAAAGUUAUAAACAUGGAAUCACGAAACAGAGCGGGCAGGUUCAGAGGCUAGAGACU